rnacentral:rRNA from 1 species
GGGUCAGUAGGUUGGUCGUGCCACCGGUACGUACUGGUCUCACCGAUUCCUCCUUCCUGAAGAACCGUAAUGCCAUUAAUUUGGUGUUGCGGGGAAACAGGACUGUUACUUUGAAAAAAUUAGAGUGUUUAAAGCAAGCUAACGCUUGAAUACAUUAGCAUGGAAUAAUGAAAUAGGACGAUCGAUCCUAUUUUGUUGGUUUCUAGGAUUGACGUG